UCAAUGGUUAUUGGGCAUAUAUGGACGUAUCCAUGAGAGAGCGUGAGAGAGAGAGAAAGAGAGAGAGAUACACCAGAGUUUCUGUGUAUGUACGGGAGAGAUGGGCUGUGUUUUCUCUAGUAGAUCAUCACCGUCCUUUGAUUCGAUACGUGUGGUCCACCUCAAUGGCUACGUCGAGGACUUCACCGAGCCAACUACAGUGAGCCAAGUCACCGGCAAGCCGGCUAAGCACUUCUUAUGCUCGUCGUCCCAUCUACUCUCGAUGGGCUCGCAACGGACGCUUGAUCCUGAGGCUCGGCUCGAGCCGGGUCGUCUCUACUUCUUGUUGCCACACUCGAUCUACCGGUUAGAAUCUUCUCCAGCUGAUCUGGUGUCGUUGGCUACUCGUCUCACAGCAAUCGGUAAGCGUGGUGGCCCACCUAGCAAAACACCCCCCGCAAGCCCAUGCUCGAGCCCACAUAAGCCCAUGGUCUCUGUCAACGCUACAAAAUCUGGUUUGAGGAGAGGCUUGUGUGGGGAAGACGUGUUAUUGACCGUCCGAUCGUGGAAACCGAUCUUGGAUAGCAUAGAAGAGCGGUCGUUCGAGCAUCGGUGUGAUUGAGAUCGAUCCGGUCGAUGAGAUGGGCCAUUGGUUUUUAUCUCCACGCAGAUAUCGCAUCCUGUUCAGCGGCACUCUGGGAAUCUCGUCGUUGCACACGUGUGAGUUUCCACACGCUUUCAAGGAAUUGUAUACUUGUUGCACACUCAGCAUGCUUUGUACUUCUGGGCCUUAAUGAUAUCUUGCGCAUGGUGUGUAGUGGGCUUAAUCUACCUUUGUACAGCAGAAUCUAAUGUAGAAUGGUGUUAUGAUUAUGUUUUUAUGUUCAUUUCUCAUCUUA